GUUCUUAGUCCCCAUUUACAAUACAAAAUAAACCUUGUUUACAUACCGUUAUGGCCAAACUGUGUUCUAACACUGUCUUUUCUAUCCAUACAAACAAGAAUAAAUGGCGAAUAAACUAUUUAUUUAGGUAUUUACCAGUGUUAGAAGAGGGUUCUCUCGUAUGAUUAUAACAUGCACACUACAACUGGGUGAAUAAUGGAUUUUUCGGUUCACUGGCCAUUCUGAGACAAUUAAAAAAAAAUUCAUUUUGGGUUGAAUUGAAAACAAGUAUUUAAAAAAAAAAUUGGUGACUCAAAAAGUUGAAAAGUCAAGUUGAAGCAAAAGGUUUCAUUCCACCAUGACCUUUUUCAAUUUGGGGCAUUUGUCAAAAGCAAAGAAGAAAUCAUGAAAUGCAGGGUGGGGGUUGGGGGGAGGAUGACCACCUCACUUCUAACCUGUAGCCCAGUGGUGGGAGACCUGAGCUCAGUUCCCCUCGGUCAGAUGUGGAAAAGGGAUUUGAAUAGGUGUCCCUGCACUGCAGCAAAGUGCCCUACCCAUCAGGAUAUAGAGUCAUUCUCACUUACUUUCAAUAUCUCCAUGAAUGACUAUGAACUGCCACUUUGAAUGACAAUGAAGAGUCACUGGGCUAGGAAGAAAGUGAAAAUGACUUGAUAGCCUGGUGGUUAGGGCACUCACCUAGCAUGUGGGAGACCCAAGUUGAAGUCCCAGCUCUAAUGACUAUUUAAUUAUUUACAUACAGUAGAACAGCUUUCACAGGGGAGAGGGAGAAAGCCCCACACCAGAAUAUCCCAUAGCCCAAUGGGUAGGGCCGGUCUCCUGCAAUGUGUGACACCCACAUUCAAUUCUUUCUUCCUCAUAAGGAAGAAGAGUAGGUCUGUCAGGGUCAGAUCUGAAAAAACCUGAUCCUCUGGGUUGAGCGUGCUGACAAGUUGCAAUACCUCCCACUUCGCAGCACAUUCAGCUCAGCGAGGUGGGGGCAGCUGGCAGGAGGACAUGCAGGCAUCACCAUUGGCAGGAGGUGACCAGAGAGGAGGAGUUGGGAGUGGCCAACUCCUAUCAGGCUGAGCCCUAAGGACAAGGUGGUGGCGGUGAUGAUGCAGAUGGGGACUGGUUCAGGAGGUCCGUUCCGAAAAAGACUUGACACUCUCGGGUCAGCUGUGCUCAGCUUGGGUCCUGGUCCAGUCAGGUCUGAUCAGUAGACUAAAGCUGCAUUUUUCAGCAAAUAAACUAUUUGCUGAAAUAAUUUCACCCAGUUCGAUGCACACAAGCAAGGGGGGUGGG